ACCCUUUUGUAGUUCAUGAAUGCGAUGAUUGGGUGUUCGUUCUUUGCAUGAUGUGUGCCUCCCUCAAAACUUGUUAGGAUGUCGGCACCUUACCUGUCUGAUU